UGGGGAAUUUUGGACAAUGGGGGAAACCCUGAUCCAGCCAUCCCGCGUGUGCGAUGAAGGCCUUCGGGUUGUAAAGCACUUUUGGCAGGAAAGAAACGUCAUGGGUUAAUACCCCGUGAAACUGACGGUACCUGCAGAAUAAGCACCGGCUAACUACGUGCCAGCAGCCGCGGUAAUACGUAGGGUGCAAGCGUUAAUCGGAAUUACUGGGCGUAAAGCGUGCGCAGGCGGUUCGGAAAGAAAGAUGUGAAAUCCCAGAGCUCAACUUUGGAACUGCAUUUUUUACUACCGGGCUAGAGUGUGUCAGAGGGAGGUGGAAUUCCGCGUGUAGCAGUGAAAUGCGUAGAUAUGCGGAGGAACACCGAUGGCGAAGGCAGCCUCCUGGGAUAACACUGACGCUCAUGCACGAAAGCGUGGGGAGCAAACAGG
rnacentral:rRNA from 1 species